AAAAUGUAGCUUAAUAAAAGCGUCUGGUUUACACCUAGAAGAUUUCAGACAUACUGACCGUUUUGA
rnacentral:tRNA from 1 species